rnacentral:rRNA from 1 species
GACGAACGCUGGCGGUGUGCUUAACACAUGCAAGUCGAACGGUAAGGCCCUUUCGGGGGUACACGAGUGGCGAACGGGUGAGUAACACGUGAGUAACCUGCCCUCAUCUCUGGGAUAACAGUCGGAAACGGUUGCUAAUACUGGAUAUGAGCCUGCAAGGCAUCUUGUGGGUUGGAAAGAUUUUUUGGUUGGGGAUGGACUCGCGGCCUAUCAGCUUGUUGGUGAGGUAGUGGCUCACCAAGGCUUCGACGGGUAGCCGGCCUGAGAGGGCGACCGGCCACAUUGGGACUGAGAUACGGCCCCAACUCCUACGGGAGGCAGCAGUGGGGAAUAUUGCACAAUGGACGGAAGUCUGAUGCAGCAACGCCGCGUGCGGGAUGACGGCCUUCGGGUUGUAAACCGCUUUCAAUUGUGACGAAGCUUUUUGUGACGGUAGCAGUAGAAGAAGCACCGGCUAACUACGUG